UACGAAGGGGGCUAGCGUUGCUCGGAAUCACUGGGCGUAAAGGGUGCGUAGGCGGGUCUUUUAAGUCAGGGGUGAAAUCCUGGAGCUCAACUCCAGAACUGCCUUUGAUACUGAAGAUCUUGAGUUCGGGAGAGGUGAGUGGAACUGCGAGUGUAGAGGUGAAAUUCGUAGAUAUUCGCAAGAACACCAGUGGCGAAGGCGGCUCACUGGCCCGAUACUGACGCUGAGGUGCGAAAGCGUGGGGAGCAAACAG
rnacentral:rRNA from 1 species